rnacentral:rRNA from 1 species
UACGUAGGGUGCAAGCGUUGUCCGGAAUUAUUGGGCGUAAAGAGCUCGUAGGCGGCUAGUCACGUCGGAUGUGAAAACCCGAGGCUCAACCUCGGGCCUGCAUUCGAUACGGGCUGGCUAGAGUACUGCAGGGGAGACUGGAAUUCCUGGUGUAGCGGUGAAAUGCGUAGAUAUCUGGAGGAACACCGGUGGCGAAGGCGGCAUCCUGGACCGGUAUUGACGCUGAGGCGCGAAAGCCAGGGGAGCAAACGGG